rfam:Populus trichocarpa isolate Nisqually-1 chromosome 16, whole genome shotgun sequence.
GUAUUCAUAGCUGAAUGAUUAAAGCACCUAACUUAUUAUUGGUGAAUUCGUAGGUUCAAUUCCUACUGGAUGCA